ensembl:lncRNA LNCAROD lncRNA activating regulator of DKK1
ACACACCCAAGGAGGAGGGCUCUGGCCAUGCAAGGCUGAAGGCCCAGUGUACUGAUAUGAAAACUGAAGCUCAGACAGAAGAGGCGACGUUGCUUUCUUAACCACUGGAUUUGCAGUGCUGUGGUUCUCAGAAGAGGCCAGGACAGGUUAAUCCACUCACUUGGGAGGCAGGUUGAAUGUACAGCUGGUAUAAAAAUGGUGCUUUGUCGUCAUGAAGAAGGUGUAUUCUGGGAUCAAACCACCUGGCUGGAGAUGCUUACUAACCUCAGUUUCUUCAUCUGACCUUACCUUUCUAAAAGAAUAAGAAGAAGAUGAUACAUAUUCCUCUAAAGUCCCAACAGGAACCUUUUCCCCUCACUCCCUCCCCAGAGAUGUGUAUCAUUUCCAUGAGUGUCUGUACUUUUACAACAUGUGCAUAUUAAUAAACAAAAUAUGACAAAUUAUUUUGUCUUAAUAUUUGCAUAAAUCUAGCCAUACUCUACACCACUUUUGCAACUUUCACUAUUAUAUAUUUUGAAGAUUAUCCGUGUUUAUGCACAUAAGUUUAUCAUUUUAACUGUUGAAUAGUGUUUCAUUAUAUGAAUUAACCAUAAUUCAUCUAUUUCCCUGAGUGACAAUUAGGUUUCUUUUUGUUUUUAUGCUCUGAUGAACAAUCUUGCAAUUAUUAUCUUUGUAUAUGUCUUCAUGUAUAAGAAAUUCUCCAGGGUAGACACUUAGAAGU